rnacentral:rRNA from 1 species
UACGGGGGGGGGCAAGCGUUGUUCGGAAUUGACUGGGCGUAAAGGGCUCGUAGGCGGCCAACUAAGUCAGACGUGAAAUCCCCCAGGCUCAACCUGGGAACUGCGUCUGAUACUGGAUGGCUUGAAUUCGGGAGAGGGAUGCCAGAAUUCCAGGUGGUAGCGGUGAAAUGCGUAGAUAUCUGGAGGAAUACCGGUGGCGAAGGCGGCAUCCUGGACCGACAUUGACGCUGAGGAGCGAAAAGCUAGGGG